rnacentral:rRNA from 1 species
ACGCUCGACACCUACGGGAGGCAGCAGUGGGGAAUAUUGCACAAUGGGGGAAACCCUGAUGCAGCGACGCCGCGUGGAGGAAGAAGGUCUUCGGAUUGUAAACUCCUGUUGUUGGGGAAAAAGAGGAUGGUACCCAACAAGGAAGUGACGGCUAACUACGUGCCUGCAGCCGACGGUAAUCUGAGGCGGGCUGGCAAGGC